CAGAGUUUUCACAACUCCCAACCCUUGCGAACCGUACCCAUUCUGUUCUCGUUGCUUCCGGCGGGGGGGACGGGGGGGCCCGAAACGGCCUCCCCGCCCCGCCCGCCGGGGGCGGCGGGCCCUACGAACCUUUAUAUCUCAACCACUAGAAACCGUCUGAGAAAACAAACAAAAUAAUCA
rnacentral:misc_RNA from 1 species